AUAAUGGGUCAGCGACUUAUAUUCUGUAGCAAGGUUAACCGAAUAGGGGAGCCGAAGGGAAACCGAGUCUUAACUGGGCGUUAAGUUGCAGGGUAUAGACCCGAAACCCGGUGAUCUAGCCAUGGGCAGGUUGAAGGUUGGGUAACACUAACUGGAGGACCGAACCGACUAAUGUUGAAAAAUUAGCGGAUGACUUGUGGCUGGGGGUGAAAGGCCAAUCAAACCGGGAGAUAGCUGGUUCUCCCCGAAAGCUAUUUAGGUAGCGCCUCGUGAAUUCAUCUCCGGGGGUAGAGCACUGUUUCGGCAAGGGGGUCAUCCCGACUUACCAACCCGAUGCAAACUGCGAAUACCGGAGAAUGUUAUCACGGGAGACACACGGCGGGUGCUAACGUCCGUCGUGAAGAGGGAAACAACCCAGACCGCCAGCUAAGGUCCCAAAGUCAUGGUUAAGUGGGAAACGAUG
rnacentral:rRNA from 1 species